GACGUAGGGCGCGAGCGUUGUCCGGAUUUAUUGGGCGUAAGGAGCUCGUAGGCGGCUUGUCGCGUCGUCCGUGAAAACCUGGGGCUCAACUGUGGGCUUGCAGCUGAUACGGGCAGGCUUGAGUUCGGUAGGGGAGACUGGAAUUCCUGGUGUAGCGGUGAAAUGCGCAGAUAUCAGGAGGAACACCGGUGGCGAAGGCGGGUCUCUGGGCCGAUACUGACGCUGAGGAGCGAAAGCGUGGGGAGCGAACAGG
rnacentral:rRNA from 1 species